GGAUAAGUUGCAGUGCAUCCUGUGGUGGCGGACUACAUUCUCAUUCAAGGACCUGUACAAAUCCUAGACCAUCAAGGCUGGGACAGUCCUGCGACGGGGACUCGUUUCAGGUUGAACUUUGCAACAAACACAAAUGUGGGCAGGAUGUUGCUUUCAAUGCUCACUACGUGACAGACACCACUCCAGUAGCUGGACAGACGAUGGUAUUUACAACAGUGUUGCUGAACAAGGGAGCAGCAUACAAUAGCUCAACUGGAAUAUUCAUUGUCCCAGCUAAUGGAAUUUACACAUUCAGUGCACAAAUUUGUACCUCUGUUAAGCAUGAAAUGCAUUUCUCAAUCAUGGCUGACUCUACAGCGUUAGUGCCUACAUAUGGAACAAAGUAUAAUACUUAUUGCGAAUGUCCUUCAGUACAAACUGUUGCUGUACUGAACAAAAAUCAGAAAGUUUUCGUACAAUGGCAGACAUUUUCAUCUCCUUAUAGAGUUGGUGUCUGUACAGGUAGAGUAUUUAUGAACUACUUUUCCGGAUAAUCAAACAACGGCCAAUAAGACUAAGAGGCUUUUGAAAACAUUUUUAAAUUCAUAUAUCUUCUAAAACUGUAAUAAUAACAGAUUAUUAAAAGAGUAUUGAAACA
rnacentral:lncRNA from 1 species